UACGUAGGUGGCAAGCGUUGUCCGGAUUUACUGGGCGUAAAGAGCGCGCAGGCGGUCGUUCAAGUCGCGUGUGAAAUCUCCUGGCUCAACUGGGAGGGUGCGCCGGAAACUGGAGUGCUUGAGCGUGGGAGAGGAAAGCGGAAUUCCUGGUGUAGCGGUGAAAUGCGUAGAUAUCAGGAGGAACACCUGUGGUGUAGACGGCUUCUGGACCAUAGCUGACGCUGAGACACGAAAGCGUGGUAGCAACAGG
rnacentral:rRNA from 1 species